rnacentral:rRNA from 1 species
AUUAGUUAAGUUCUUUAAAUUUAAAGAUUUUGGCGGUAUUUUAGUCUAUUCAGAGGAACCUGUUCUGUAAUUGAUAAUCCACGAUUAAUUAUACUUAGUUUAUAUAUUUGUAUAUCAUCGUUUUUAAUAAUUUUAUAAGAAUUUAAAUUUUUAAGAUUUUUUAUUUAAAAAUAUAUCAGAUCAAGGUGCAGUUUAUAGUUAAGUAGAAAUGGGUUACAAUAAAUUUAUUUAUUACGAAUUUUUAUAUGAAAAUUUAUUUUGAAGGAGGAUUUGAUAGUAAUAAAAUUAAUUUAAAUUUUUUGAUUUUAGCUCUAAAAUAUGU